rnacentral:rRNA from 1 species
AUUGAACGCUGGCGGCAGGCCUAACACAUGCAAGUCGAACGAGUGGCGGACGGGUGAGUAAUGUCUGGGAAACUGCCUGAUGGAGGGGGAUAACUACUGGAAACGGUAGCUAAUACCGCAUACCAUCAGAUGUGCCCAGAUGGGAUUAGCUAGUAGGUGGGGUAACGGCUCACCUAGGCGACGAUCCCUAGCUGGUCUGAGAGGAUGACCAGCCCCACUGGAACUGAUACACGGUCCAGACUCCGACGGUCGGCAGCAGUGGGGAAUAUUGCACACUGGGCGCAAGCCUGAUGCAGCCAUGCCGCGUGUAUGAAGAAGGCCUUCGGGUUGUAAAGUACUUUCAGCGGGGAGGCGUUACCCACAGAAGAAGCACCGGCUAACUCCGUGCCAGCAGCCGCGGUAAUUC